rnacentral:rRNA from 1 species
CCUACGGGUGGCAGCAGUGAGGAAUAUUGGUCAAUGGACGAGAGUCUGAACCAGCCAAGUAGCGUGAAGGAUGACUGCCCUAUGGGUUGUAAACUUCUUUUAUAUGGGAUUAAACUGUUCCCCGUGGGGGUUUUUGUUUGUACCUUAUGAUUAAGGAUCGGCUAACUCCGUGCCAGCAGCCGCGGUAAUACGGAGGAUCCGAGCGUUAUCCGGAUUUAUUGGGUUUAAAGGGAGCGUAGGUGGAUUGUUAGGUCAGUUGUGAAAGUUUGCGGCUCAACCGUAAAAUUGCAGUUGAAACUGGCAGUCUUGAGUACAGUAGAGGUGGGCGGAAUUCGUGGUGUAGCGGUGAAAUGCUUAGAUAUCACGAAGAACUCCGAUUGCGAAGGCAGCUCACUGGACUGCAACUGACACUGAGGCUCGAAAGUGUGGGUAUCAAACAGGAUUAGAUACCCCUGUAGUC